CACGUAGGGCGCAAGCGUUGUCCGGAAUUAUUGGGCGUAAAGAGCUCGUAGGCGGUCUGUUGCGUCCGCUGUGAAAACCCGGGGCUUAACCCUGGGCUGGCAGUGGAUACGGACAGACUAGAGGUAGGUAGGGGAGAAUGGAAUUCCCGGUGUAGCGGUGAAAUGCGCAGAUAUCGGGAGGAACGACCGGUGGCGAAGGCGGUUCUCUGGGCCUUCCUGACGCUGAGGCAGCGAAAGCGUGGGGAGCGAACAGGA
rnacentral:rRNA from 1 species